rnacentral:rRNA from 1 species
GUGAACCUGCGGAAGGAUCAUUAGCGAA